UGCAAGUCGAACGCUGAAGCCUGGCUUUUGUUGGGUGGAUGAGUGGCGAACGGGUGAGUAACACGUGAGUAACCUGCCCUCUUCUUUGGGAUAACGUCCGGAAACGGGUGCUAAUACUGGAUAUUCACUUGCCUUCGCAUGGGGGUGGGUGGAAAGGGUUUUUUUCUGGUGGGGGAUGGGCUCGCGGCCUAUCAGCUUGUUGGUGGGGUGAUGGCUUACCAAGGCUUUGACGGGUAGCCGGCCUGAGAGGGUGACCGGUCACAUUGGGACUGAGAUACGGCCCAGACUCCUACGGGAGGCAGCAGUGGGGAAUAUUGCACAAUGGGCGCAAGCCUGAUGCAGCGACGCCGCGUGAGGGAUGGAGGCCUUCGGGUUGUGAACCUCUUUCGCUCAUGGUCAAGCCGCAACUCAUGGUUGUGGUGAGGGUAGUGGGUAAAGAAGCGCCGGCUAACUACGUGCCAGCAGCCGCGGUAAUACGUAGGGCGCGAGCGUUGUCCGGAAUUAUUGGGCGUAAAGGGCUUGUAGGCGGUUGGUCGCGUCUGCCGUGAAAUCCUCUGGCUUAACUGGGGGCGUGCGGUGGGUACGGGCUGACUUGAGUGCGGUAGGGGAGACUGGAACUCCUGGUGUAGCGGUGGAAUGCGCAGAUAUCAGGAAGAACACCGGUGGCGAAGGCGGGUCUCUGGGCCGUUACUGACGCUGAGGAGCGA
rnacentral:rRNA from 1 species